GACAGAGGGUGCAAACGUUGCUCGGAAUUACUGGGCGUAAAGGGCGUGUAGGCGGGAAGGCAAGUCGGGCGUGAAAGCCCCAGGCUCAACCUGGGAACUGCACUCGAAACUGCCUUUCUUGAGUGCCGGAGAGGAAAGCGGAAUUCCUGGUGUAGAGGUGAAAUUCGUAGAUAUCAGGAGGAACACCAGUGGCGAAGGCGGCUUUCUGGACGGUAACUGACGCUGGAGACGCGAAAGCGUGGGGAGCAAACAGG
rnacentral:rRNA from 1 species